rnacentral:tRNA from 1 species
AUUUAUAUAGUAUAAAAAGUAUAUUUGACUUCCAAUCAAAAGGUCUAAUUUUUAGGUAUAAAUA